rnacentral:lncRNA from 1 species
CUCUCUACCUCUAUGUGAUCAACAUGUGGUAUUUGUCUUUCUGUAUUUGGCUUAUUUCACUUAAUAUAGUAUCUUUCAGUUCCAUCUAUGUUCCUUCAAAUGACAGAACUUCAUUAUUUUUUUUCACUGAAUAUUUCACAGGGGUCUACUUUCACUCUUCUGCAUUUGUAUAUCUGGUUUGCCCCAGGACCAUUAUUGAAGAGCAUCUCCUUUCUUCAAUGUAUGGUCUUGGCAUUGCAAUAUACAAUUUACUAGAUAAAUGAACUGUUCAAGAAGAGAUGACAUGAACAUGGCCUUUUAUGUGGACCCUCACAACAUUUUAGCUGACUGCAUUGCUAACAGGCAAUAACCAUGAAAUUAUUACAGUAGGACACUAUGUACUGGAAGUUAAUCAUAUGCAAUUAUGAUUUAGUAUUAUAUCCCUAGGGCUGGGGAUUUAGGUCAGUGGUUCUACCACCUGCCUCUAAAGUGCAAGGUUCCGAUCCCUGGUACCAAAAAAAAAAACAACAAAAAACUUUACAUUUCUCUUGACUGUGAACAGCAUCAUGUACAGUUUUUGAGUGGAUAAAUUUUAAUAAAUUUUAACUUUUUGUAACAUAUUUGUGUAUAUGUUAUACUAAACAACAAAAAAAGAUUAUUAUCUAUAUAUGUUUGCAUAUAUUUGUGACAAAUGUUUUUAUACUUUUUUAAAAAGUUUUUGGAUAAUUUUAGGCUACAGAUUGUUUUUUCAAAUUGUUGUAAAUCUUCCUCUCUCCCAAAAAAUCUUUGUACAUAUAGACCCUUGGAGUUCAAACCUGUGUUGUUCAAGGAUCAACUGUACAAUGAACAAGAAAAAUAUGGGAAACUAUUAAGUGUACCAAUAUAUACCUAACAAGAAUAUAAGGAGGGAAAUGAAUAGGAAAAAAAUUCAAAUAUAUACAAUGGCUAGAAAUUCAAUAAAUUUGAUUAAAAAAAAUUAUAUAGCACAAAAGCUCAAUAACUUUCAAGUAGGAUAGAGGCAGAGAGUUACCUCCAAACAUAUCACAGUAAAACAGUGAAGGACACAAACUAAGAGAAAAUCUUAGGAGUUGAAAGAGAAAUAUAACUUGUCAUAUACAAAAGAACUCAAGAGUAAUAGCUAACUUAUGAUCAGAAAUAGUAAAAGCCAGAGAAGGUAGUGUGAUAACAGAUUUAAAAUGCUGAAAAAGAACCAGGCAUGGUGGUA